rnacentral:tRNA from 1 species
GGCUGGUUAGCUCAGUCAGUUAGAGCAUGAUGCUGGUAACAUCAAGGUCACAGGUUCGAUUCCCGUUCGGUCC